UACAGAGGGGGCAAGCGUUGUUCGGAAUUACUGGGCGUAAAGGGCGCGUAGGCGGCCUGCUAAGUCGAACGUGAAAUCCCCGAGCUCAACUCGGGAACUGCGUCCGAUACUGGCAGGCUUGAAUCCGGGAGAGGGAUGCGGAAUUCCAGGUGUAGCGGUGAAAUGCGUAGAUAUCGGGAGGAACACCUGUGGCGAAAGCGGCGCACUGGACCACAACUGACGCUGAGGCGCGAAAGCUAGGGGAGCAAACAGG
rnacentral:rRNA from 1 species